rnacentral:rRNA from 2 species
UGCAAGUCGAACGAGGUCCGGAGCUUGCUCCGGGUGCCUAGUGGCGAACGGGUGAGUAACGCGUGGGAAUCUGCCCUGGAGUGGGGAACAACAGUUGGAAACGACUGCUAAUACCGCAUACGCCCUGAGGGGGAAAGGCUUCGGCCGCUCUUGGAUGAUCCCGCGUCUGAUUAGCUUGUUGGUGGGUAACGGCCUACCAAGGCGACGAUCAGUAGCUGGUCUGAGAGGAUGAUCAGCCACACUGGGACUGAGACACGGCCCAGACUCC